GUCUACUUCUGUAGCUCAGUCUGUAGAGCCUGAGAGUCUUAAUCUCAUGGUUAUGGGCUCAAGCCCCACAUUGGGCA